UUGACCUCGGAUCAGGUAGGACUACCCGCUGAACUUAAGCAUAUCAAUAAGCGGAGGAAAAGAAACCAACAGGGAUUGCCCCAGUAACGGCGAGUGAAGCGGCAACAGCUCAGAUUUGGAAUCUGGCCCCCAGGGCCCGAGUUGUAAUCUGGAGAGGAUGCUUCUGGCGCGGCGCCUUCCGAGUUCCCUGGAACGGGACGCCGGAGAGGGUGAGAGCCCCGUACGGUUGGACGCCUAGCCUUUGUGAAGCUCCUUCGACGAGUCGAGUAGUUUGGGAAUGCUGCUCAAAAUGGGAGGUAAAUUUCUUCUAAAGCUAAAUACCGGCCAGAGACCGAUAGCGCACAAGUAGAGUGAUCGAAAGAUGAAAAGCACUUUGAAAAGAGGGUCAAACAGUACGUGAAAUUGUUGAAAGGGAAGCGCCCGUGGCCAGACUUGUGCCCCGCGGACCACCCGGCGCCCUCAGCGCCGGUGCACUCCUCGGGGCGCAGGCCAGCAUCGGUUUUCCUAGGGGGAUAAAGGCGGCGGGAACGUGGCUCCCUCGGGAGUGUUAUAGCCCGCCGCGCCAUGCCCCUGGGGGGACCGAGGACCGCGCUUCGGCAAGGAUGCUGGCGU
rnacentral:rRNA from 1 species